rnacentral:rRNA from 1 species
UACGGGGGGGAGCAAGCGUUGUUCGGAUUUACUGGGCGUAAAGGGCGCGUAGGCGGCCACCGCAAGUCGAUUGUGAAAUCUCCGGGCUUAACCCGGAAAGGUCAACCGAUACUGCGGGGCUAGAGUGCAGAAGGGGCAACUGGAAUUCUCGGUGUAGCGGUGAAAUGCGUAGAUAUCGAGAGGAACACCUGCGGCGAAGGCGGGUUGCUGGGCUGACACUGACGCUGAUGCGCGAAAGCUAGGGGAGCGAACGGG